rnacentral:rRNA from 1 species
CCUACGGGCCGCACCAGUGGGGAAUAUUGCACAAUGGGCGCAAGCCUGAUGCAGCCAUGCCGCGUGUAUGAGGAAGGCCUUCGGGUUGUAAAGUACUUUCGGCGGGGAGGAAGGCGAUAAGGUUAAUAACCUUGUCGAUUGACGUUACCCGCAGAAGAAGCACCGGCUAACUCCGUGCCAGCAGCCGCGGUAAUACGGAGGGUGCAAGCGUUAAUCGGAAUUACUGGGCGUAAAGCGCACGCAGGCGGUCUGUCAAGUCGGAUGUGAAAUCCCCGGGCUCAACCUGGGAACUGCAUUCGAAACUGGCAGGCUGGAGUCUUGUAGAGGGGGGUAGAAUUCCAGGUGUAGCGGUGAAAUGUGUAGAGAUCUGGAGGAAUACCGGUGGCGAAGGCGGCCCCCUGGAUAAAGACUGACGCUCAGGUGCGAAAGCGUGGGGAGCAAACAGGAUUAGAUACCCCUGUAGUC